rnacentral:rRNA from 1 species
GAUGAACGCUGGCGGCGUGCUUAACACAUGCAAGUCGAACGAUGAAGCCCAGCUUGCUGGGUGGAUUAGUGGCGAACGGGUGAGUAACACGUGAGUAACCUGCCCUUGACUCUGGGAUAAGCCUGGGAAACUGGGUCUAAUACUGGAUAUGACUUCUCAUCGCAUGGUGGGGGGUGGAAAGAUUUAUUGGUCUUGGAUGGACUCGCGGCCUAUCAGCUUGUUGGUGAGGUAAUGGCUCACCAAGGCGACGACGGGUAGCCGGCCUGAGAGGGUGACCGGCCACACUGGGACUGAGACACGGCCCAGACUCCUACGGGAGGCAGCAGUGGGGAAUAUUGCACAAUGGGCGGAAGCCUGAUGCAGCGACGCCGCGUGAGGGAUGACGGCCUUCGGGUUGUAAACCUCUUUCAGUAGGGAAGAAGCGAGAGUGACGGUACCUGCAGAAGAAGCGCCGGCUAACUACGUG